UACGAAGGGGGCUAGCGUUGCUCGGAAUUACUGGGCGUAAAGGGCGCGUAGGCGGAUACUUAAGUCGGGGGUGAAAGCCCAGGGCUCAACCCUGGAAUAGCCUUCGAUACUGGGUAUCUUGAGUUCGGGAGAGGUGAGUGGAACUCCGAGUGUAGAGGUGAAAUUCGUAGAUAUUCGGAAGAACACCAGUGGCGAAGGCGGCUCACUGGACGACUGUUGACGCUGAGGUGCGAAAGCGUGGGGAGCAAACAGG
rnacentral:rRNA from 1 species